rnacentral:tRNA from 1 species
GCGGGCGUAGUUCAAUGGUAGAACGAGAGCUUCCCAAGCUCUAUACGAGGUUCGAUUUUCGCUUCCGCUUACU